CUCUAGUUUGUGUGCCAGGUUAGCAGAAAACUAGCCAGCACAGCUUCCACACCCCUCUUUCCUUAGGCAUUUUGUCACCUCAAUGCCAAGAAAAAGUACCCAGUCUACACAGCAUGCACUCCCCAGCAACUCAGGGCUUGCAUGCCAAUGGCUCUGGUCCCAAACUCCUCAGAUGUUGAUUUUUUUCUCAAUAUCCACCCAAGAAGACAAAGGCCAGAGAGUCAUCUUCAAGAAUGGCUUUCAGGCUGUGGUCCAGCUAGUCCAACAAUGGCUGUCUGUCAAUGAAAGGUCCAAGAAUCCAGUAACGGUUCAGCCCACAAGGCUGGGGGUCUCAGCUGAUCUUCGGGAUAUGCUGGAAACCCUGGAGAAGCAGCUCAAAUGCCAGUGAAGGAGUGGACUUGCCAGUGAGAGUGAGAGCCAGCAGGCAAGGACAGCUAGUUCCCUUCGCCCGCGUCCCUCAUACAGGCUGCCAGUGGAAGGCAAGGCUCACAUUAAAGGCGGAUCUUCACACCUCAAAAGAUCAAGAUUAGAAAUGGGUGUCCUCACUUCAAAUGAUUUAACUUAGAAAAAAAAGCUCCUCGAAGAUGUGCCCAGCUUUUUACUUCAUUCCAGAUGUAGUCAAGUUGACAACCAAGAACAGCCAUCCUAGCUGGUAAAUUGGAGAACAAGGGUGCAUCUUUGGCAUUUAGCCAACAACCCAGAUUUAAAUUUCUUUCAACCAUAGCCACCUCAGUGCAGAGACAAACAGGAGAGUUUGCCAGCCUUGACUGGGGACCCAUACUCAAGUGAGAAUUCCUUUUCUAAAAGCUAUGUAUUACUCUACUUAGAGUCAAGAGAUGAUUUGUUUUGGGUGCAUGCA